UACAGAGGUCCCAAGCGUUGUUCGGAUUCACUGGGCGUAAAGGGUGCGUAGGUGGUUGUGCAAGUCUGAUGUGAAAGCCCCGGGCUUAACCUGGGAACUGCGUUUGAUACGGAUGGGCUAGAGUUCGGGAGAGGAGAGUGGAAUUCCCAGUGUAGAGGUGAAAUUCGUAGAUAUUGGGAAGAACACCGGUGGCGAAGGCGGCUCUCUGGACCGAGACUGACGCUGAGGCGCGAAAGCGUGGGGAGCAAACAGG
rnacentral:rRNA from 1 species